ensembl:lncRNA
UUAGGGAGCAGGUAGGGGUUAGACAGUGGAUACAGAGGCAGGUCAUUAAGGAGCAGGUAGGGGUUAGACAGUGGAUACAGAGACGGGUCGUUAAGGAGCAGGUAGGGGUUAGACAGUGGAUACAGAGACAGGUCAUUAAGGAGCAGGUAGGGGUUAGACAGUGGAUACAGAGGCAGGUCAUUAAGGAGCAGGUAGGGGUUAGACAGUGGAUACAGAGGCAGGUCAUUAGGGAGCAGGUAGGGGUUAGACAGUGAAUACAGAGACAGGUCAUUAGGGAGCAGGUAGGGGUUAGACAGUGGAUACAGAGG